ensembl:lncRNA
GUUUCAUUGUACAUGUGCUGUUGUGUGUUUGCUUCAGGGUGUUGAUGCUCUUAGCUGCCUGUUCAUCUGCCUAUUGUGUGCAGUGUGGAUUUUGAGUUGAUAAGGUGUUGUCAAUCUCAUUUUCCGUUUUGUAUAUUUUGUAAAGUAUUGUAAAUAUUCUCUUUUCAAACUUGGAAGCUGUAGGGGCAUCAUCUGAGGUCCUCUGAGGGGUCGGCAUCAUCUCUUCUCAGGUGUUCUGGAUCCAGACUGGAGCUUGUGUAAAUCCUAGUUACCACGGGAUGUAAAUCCAGCAGAAACAGAGAAACAAAUAGAAACAUAAUUAGCGUAGCUGCUGUUCCAGCCAAGUAAAAUUAAUUCGUUUUACCCAAGCUAAAGAAUAAUAAUGCACAUUUGAUCAGAUAUAACUGCAGUCCAAAAUUAUGAGAUGCAUUAUUUGAAUGCUUGGCCAAAGAGGUGUGUUUUUAAUCUAGAUUUAAACAGAGAGAGUGUGUCUGAACCCCGAACAUUAUCAGGAAGACUAUUCCAGAGUUUGGGAGCCAAAUGCGAAAAACCUCCUUUAGCGGACUUUGCUAUCCUAGGUACUAUCAAAAGUCCAGUGUUUUGUGACCUUAGGGAGCGUGAUGGAUUGUAGCGUGGUAGAAGACUAGUUAGGUACGCAGGAGCUAAACCAUUAAGGGCCUUAUAGGUAAGUAAUAAUAUUUUAUAACUGAUACAGAACUUAAUAGGUAGCCAGUGCAGAGACUGUAGUAUUGGGGUAAUAUGGUCAUAAAAAAAUAAAUCAAAAAAAAAAAAAAAAAAUUCUUGUUACAUUAUAGUCCUCCACGUCCGCUCCGUUCUCAAAACUCUGGCAAUUUGAUAAUACCUAGAAUAUCAAAGUCAACUGCGGGCGGCAGAUCCUUCUCAUAUUUAGCUCCCAAACUCUGGAAUAACCUACCUAACAUUGUUCGGGAGGCAGACACACUCUUGCAGUUUAAAUCUAGAUUAAAGACCCAUCUCUUUAACCUGUCUUACACAUAACAUACUAAUACACUUCUAAUAUCCAAAUCCGUUAAAGGAUUUUUAGGCUGCAUUAA